rnacentral:rRNA from 1 species
UACGGAGGGUGCGAGCGUUGUCCGGAAUCACUGGGCGUAAAGGGCGCGUAGGCGGCCUGAUAAGUAGGGGGUGAAAUCCUGCGGCUUAACCGCAGGGCUGCCUUCUAAACUGUCAGGCUAGAGCACAGUAGAGGCAGGUGGAAUUCCCGGUGUAGCGGUGGAAUGCGUAGAGAUCGGGAAGAACAUCAGUGGCGAAGGCGGCUCACUGGUCCGGUACUGACGCUGAGGUGCGAAAGCGUGGGGAGCAAACAGG